rfam:TPA: Bos taurus chromosome 23, whole genome shotgun sequence.
CAAAAGGCUCUUUUCAGAGCCACCCACUUUAUCAGCAAAACGAGCU